rnacentral:rRNA from 1 species
GACGAACGCCGGCGGCGUGCUUAACACAUGCAAGUCGAACGGAAAGGCCCUGCUUUUGUGGGGUGCUCGAGUGGCGAACGGGUGAGUAACACGUGAGUAACCUGCCCUUGACUUUGGACAACUUAAGGGAACCGGGGAUAAUACCGGAUCGGAGCUUCCGCUGCCGGGUGGGGGAUGGUAAGUUUAGGCGGUUGGGGAUGGACUCGCGGCGUAUGAGCUUGUUGGUGGGGUUGGGGCGUACCAAGGCUUUGACGGGUAGGCGGCCUGAGAGGGUGACCGGCCACAUUGGGACUGAGAUACGGCCCAGACUCCUACGGGAGGCAGCAGGGGGGAAUAUUGCACAAUGGGCGGAAGCCUGAUGCAGCAACGCCGCGUGCGGGAUGACGGCCUUCGGGUUGUAAACCGCUUUCGCCUGUGACGAAGCGUGAGAGACGGUAAUGGGUAAAGAAGCACCGGCUAACUACGUG